rfam:Beggiatoa sp. PS contig02921, whole genome shotgun sequence.
GCUGUUAAGAUGCAGUAUACCCGCGGCUAGACGGAAAGACCCCGUGAACCUUUACUAUAGCUUUACACUGGAUUUUGAGCAUGUUUGUGUAGGAUAGGUGGGAAGUUAUGAAACAGAAACGCUAGUUUUUGUGGAACUGUCCUUGAAAUACCACCCUGGCAUGUUUGAGUUCCUAACUUGUAUCCGUAAUUCGGAUAAAGAACAGUGUAUGGUGGGUAGUUUAACUGGGGCGGUUUCCUCCAAAAGAGUAACGGAGGAGUACGAAGGUACCCUCAGCACGGUCAGAAAUCGUGCUAUGAGUGCAAAGGCAUAAGGGUGCUUAACUGUGAGACAGACAAGUCAAACAGAUACGAAAGUAGGUCUUAGUGAUCCGGUGGUUCUAUAUGGAAGGGCCAUCGCUCAACGGAUAAAAGGUACUCCGGGGAUAACAGGCUGAUUCCCCCCAAGAGUUCACAUCGACGGGGGAGUUUGGCACCUCGAUGUCGGCUCAUCACAUCCUGGGGCUGUAGUCGGUCCCAAGGGUAUGGCUGUUCGCCAUUUAAAGUGGUACGCGAGCUGGGUUUAGAACGUCGUGAGACAGUUCGGUCCCUAUCUGCCGUGGGCGUUGGAAAUUUGAGAAGAGCUGCUUCUAGUACGAGAGGAGCGAAGUGGACGUACCUCUGGUGUUCCAGUUAUCAUGCCAAUGGUAUUGCUGGGUAGCUAUGUACGGACGGGAUAACCGCUGAAAGCAUCUAAGCGGGAAGCCUCCUUCAAGAUGAGAUUUCCCGACUUGUUAAGAGUCUUAAAGGUCUGUUGAAGACAACAACGUUGAUAGGCGGGAUGUGGAAGUAUAGCAAUAUAUGGAGCUAACCCGUACUAAUUGAUCGUAAGGCUUAACCCU